UGGCUCUCGCAUCGAUGAAGAACGCAGCGAAAUGCGAUAAGUAAUGUGAACUGCAGAAUUCAGUGAAUCAUCGAAUCUUUGAACGCACCUUGCGCUCCUUGGUAUUCCGAGGAGCACGCCUGUUUGAGUGUCAUUAAAUUCUCAACCUUGAAUGGCUUUUGUCUUUCAAGUGUUGGACUUGGGGGCUUUUUUUUGCUGGCUUCGAAAGAGGUCUGCUCCCCUGAAAUGCAUUAGCUGGUGCCUGUAGUGGGAAUCCCGGUGUGAUAAUUAUCUACGCUGUGUUUCUGCUUUGGAGCUGCCGCUUCUAAUCGUCUCUCAGAGACAAACCAAUGACAAUUUUGACCUCAAAUCAGGUGGGACUACCCGCUGA
rnacentral:misc_RNA from 1 species